rnacentral:lncRNA from 1 species
AAGUAACCCUUUGGGGGAUAUCCCAGUCUUUGUUGUCAGGAUAUAAGCAGCCCAGUCCAAAACAUCAAACGUCAGUCGGUAGUGGCAAUGCAGUCUAAUUGGCAAACACCAAACAUGAAUCAGUAGCAGCAGCUCAAUCCAGCCGAAAUAGCAUGAAAAGUUUUUGGCAAGUUUCUAUGAAGUCACAAGCAAAGGUCCUUGACUUGGUACAAAGCAAACCAAUACAAGAGCCUGGUCUCUCUGUUAUAUUUGUAUUCUUUCUAAUCAUCACGUGUCCUUUCAUGUGUCUGCCUCAACAACACAUUCCUUCACCUAUCUACUUCAGCAAAACAGCCUCUCACCUGUCUGCUUCAGCAAAACAUCACAUGACAUAACUGAGUCUCCAAAGAAACCAGGAACUUCCACUUUAGGGACCAGUGGUUAUUGUUUAAAAACCCAGAGUCCCAUGAGGAAAACAGCGGCCAAUCCUAUUACAGCACCACUGUCCCUGAGAAAAUGGGAUUCAGCAGCUGUGAGGAGCGCCUACGCUGAAAUUCCAGCACUGGAGGAGGACUACUUAACAAACAAACUGCAACCAAUGGCAUCAACCACCAAUCUACCAACCUGUGCCUCCUGCAUCAAGGCCAUAACAUUUAUAUAUCUAUAAAUAAAACUAUUAUUCAUCUG